GGGGUCAUAGCUCAAGUGGCGCUUUGCGCCUGUCUUGCACAUAGGAGGUUAGGGGUUCAAAUCCCCUUGAUUCCA
rnacentral:tRNA from 1 species